rnacentral:misc_RNA from 1 species
GCAAACUUGGUCAUUUAGAGGAAGUAAAAGUCGUAACAAGGUUUCCGUAGGUGAACCUGCGGAAGGAUCAUUAACGAAUAACUAUGGUGGGCUGUCGCUGCCUCUUCGGAGGAAUGUGCACGUCCACCAUUUUUAUCUAUCCACCUGUGCACCGACUGUAGGUCUGGAUAACUCUCGUCUUCACCUCGCAAGGGGCCGUUGACGGAUGCGAGGAUUGCUCUCUCGGGCGCUCUCCUCGAAUUUCCAGGUCUACGUCUUUUACACACCCCAAAAGUAUGAUAUAGAAUGUAGUCAAUGGGCUUCUCAGCCUAUAAAACACUAUACAACUUUCAGCAACGGAUCUCUUGGCUCUCGCAUCGAUGAAGAACGCAGC